AGGGGUAUAUUGGGUAUUUCCUCACGCAGCGAUUGGAUGAGACAAAACUGCAGCCCGUGGUCCAGAACCCUAACCAGUCGUGCUCCUCGCCCCAAUCUUCUCGUUCUUCCGCCGCCGCCUGCCCAAUCCCGCUCCCCGCAGCCGCAUCCCCAUCUCCCGCUCCCCGCCGCCGCUGUCCUCCUCCCCGGUGAGCUGCCGGCGCCCCGCUCUGGGUAAUCAAGGCCAAGGACGAGCAGUGAGGCAAAAACGACCGGCUCUGGCACGGACGCGCUCGCCUCGUCUUCGUCGGCUCCGGCGAGGCAGGGCCAUGGGUGUCGGCCGCGGCCUUCCUCGGAGGUGCGCUAGCCGUACCUCGUGGCGUCUCCAUCGCCGGGAAUAGGGCAGCUGUACGCUGCACUCCUCUCCCUCGUGCGGCUCUGGAUGGCAUGGCCACGCUCGCCUCGGUCUUCGUCGGCUCUGGCGAGGCGGGCCGUGGGUGUCGGCCGCGCCUUCGUUGACGGCGCGCUGGCAGUACCGGUCUGGAAUCAUCUCCUUCUCCCCGUGCAGCUCAUCCUCACCGGAGGGAGGAGCAUGGGCCAUGGCCGACACCUACCAUGGCACCCCUGUCCCGGCCCUCAACGCCAAGAACAAGUCAACUACUCCACUUACAGGCAAAAGAGUGGAGUUCCAUGUGGGUUAAUAUCAUGGUCAACAGCAAGGCAUCUCACCACAUACCGGUAACAACCUCUGAAGUAGACAGCUGGAGUUCCAUGACCUCAGAAGUAACAAUGGUGUGUUAAGCCUCACUAUAAGUGUCAGCUCAAAUCAGCGAACCUGGGUGCCAUGUCAGAUUUGGUGAACCUGCAUUCUCUUUUGUUCGAGUGCAUUACAUCUUUGAUAACUGCAAAGCAUCAGGUUUCUGACCCACCAUCGUUCUUUAAAAAUUAAUAGGACAUUAUAAAGAUAUCACAGGUGCUAAACAAUAUUUGCGCAGUCUAGAGAUGUCGAAUGUCACAUUUGGUGGUUACAACUGUUGAAAGAUCAUGUCUACUAUGUGCAAGUGUGGAGAGACAAAACCACUGAAGCGAGUAAAUACAUUGUACAAGUUCUCUUCGUUCAGCUUCCUUUGCGGCUUUUUCCAGUGGUGCUAUACUGCUGGAGAUAACUGUUGAUUUAAGAGCUUCACUACAUUAGUCGUUUUUUUGCGGGCCACUACAUUAGUCCUUCAAGAUUUAUAAGAACAGGUGGUGGUCCAACAACGAUAUCGAUAGAGGUAUAAUUGCUGCAGGUCCAUGGGCGCCUCGCAGGGUAUCCACGCACGCCACCAGGCACGCACGGGCUGGCCGGUUGCCUCGUCUCGUUUCCAGUCAGCAGAUUGGGCCACGUUUCACACGGGUAUUGGCUCGAGGAGAAAAGAAAAAAGGGAUCGAGUAGGAGAGAAGCUAGCGACCAGCCAAACCCUAUCCUCUCAGCCGCCGCCCCUGUCCCUGCUCUCUCCGUGCGUGGCCUCCUCCACCCAGUCGUCCGGCCGUCGAGCUCCGCCUCCUCCCCGCCGAGCUGCACCUCAUCCCCGUCGCCGCCUCGCCCGCUUCUCACGCUCCUCCAUGGAUGGUGGAAAGGAGGACCGCGUGGCAGGAGCGCGCCGCCAUGUGAGUCGCUGAGAUCGAUGCCGCCCUCUUCAUCGCGCGACGGUCGCCGCACGACGGAGCAGAGAGCCACCACCGACGGUGGCAAGGAGGAGCACGUGCGGGGAAUGGCAGCUGGACUUUGCCUCCUCCAGCCCCACACUGCCUCUCAUCGUGAGAAGGAGAGGGGUGGAGAAAUAUGGACUGGAGCAAGAGGAGAAGAUGAGGGAGAGCUGGGCUUCCUCCAUCUCCGGUCCCCUUUGUGUCCUUGCAGAUUCUUUUGAUUUAUGCCACAAGGUGCUCGAUGAAAAUCUAGGCAGAUUGUCAUUGAUGAAAUAUACAAGAAAAAUCCAGGAAACGUGGUUGGUGAUAUAUUCAUGUCAAAGAAAGAGAAGGGAAUUCAGCGGGCAGUGUUGAAGAUGAGGCUUGGCAUCAUGAACUAAGAAACUACAAUGACUUAUAUACUCCAUCUCUUCCAAUAUAAGUCUCCGAAAGUUUGUCCCCAACGACAAAAUACGGGGCCUCGCUCAAAGUUUAAACAGGUUAGAGCACCGACAAUCUCUCUAGAGCUGCUCAAUUGGACCUGAACCCAAUGAUGACGGACAUGUAAGAGAUAAGGAGAUUGUGAUAGCUGCAGCUGAAGAGGAACAAAGGGCUACUCAAAAACUUCAGCAAGCCAUAUAUUUGAAGAUAUUAUUGGAAGGAUCACUAUGGUCUCAGACAUCAUACCUGUUCAGGCCAUGCAUCAGACAAUGCCUUUGAACCCAAGAUGGUUAUGCUCAAGGAUCAUCUGCAAGUUAUUAUGAUCCUUCUGUUUUCUUUUGGAGAUGAUGAUUCUGCUGAUGAUUUAUGUACCUUAUUGUUUCUGGCUAUGUAAAUCUGCAGGGGCAAUGAAAUGAAGCUGGCUCUUUGGGGUGACCGUGUGGUUCAUUUUGACGCGGAAGUUGUCUGUGCUAUACGACGUAAAUAACCAAUCAUUACUAUUUUCUGGAACAUUACUAAGACAGCUGAUGGUACUCCCUCUCAUCGCUUCUUUAUAAUCUGUAUGGUUUGGUAAAUUCAUGUUUCAUAUUUUUUUCUAUGGUGUUCCUUGUUGCGCUGCUUAUGUCCUUUUGAGAUAUGUGCACUCUAUGUGCGUCUGUAUAUUAGUGGUGAUAGAUAUGUAUUUUCAUGUCGGUUCGGUGCUGGUAAUAGAGGAUUGAGUGGUUAGAAAGUAUAAAAGGUACGAGUUUUAGUUCAUUUGUCCAUUCAUAAAAGCAGGUGCUUCCCCGUGUUGCUUCUUAUGUUCUUCAUGCUUUCCUUUGCCUUUGUUUUCUGCUGCUAUUUUACGCAUGUCGAUGUUAUCGUGUUGUUUUAUAUUAUCUCCGCCUCUGUAGAAAAGUCUGAUUUCUUCUCCGUGCCUGCCCUUUGUACCCAGUUCUUCAUGCCUACGAGUUCCAGAAGUGAGGCCUUCCACACGCUCAAUACUGGUAGGCACGCUCAACACUGGUAGAGGUAAACUUUAGAACAGUCACCUCUCGUGUACCGUGCAUAAAGUCUACCAAAAGGAUAUCAUCUCUUACUGUUUCAAACAUAGAUCCAUGACCAUCUUAUUGCCCCUUUUGUUACUGUGUUGCAAAACUAUGACACAAUAGAUUAAAUACCAUUCUUAUUGCCCCUUUUGUUCUUUCCCUUCUCGGUUUUGUACUGCUCUUUAUUUUCUUUUGGGUUCUCUUCUUACUGUUUCUUCUUCUUUGUUUUGUUCUUCCUUUCUUUGUUUUGGAUAUCUUCUUUCUUCUCAUGGCUCGUGUAUAUUAUUUCUUCGAUUUGUUCUUUCCGAUUUCUUCAUGGCUCCCUCUGUUUUUUUCUUCGAUUUGCUUUUUUCUUCUAUCUAUUCUUUCCGAUUUCUUUGAUAUUUUUUUUUUUACUUCGAGUCCCUGCGGGGAGCUUAACGGCAAGUGUGUUUGUAUGUAAGAAGGAAAAAUUUCCAAAAUAAUUUCAGGAGGAGAUUGUUAUUGAUGAAAAUGCUGUGACAAUGGUCGACGUGUAUUUAAGGAUGGAAAAUGCUCAAUAACUAGCUCUGUAACCAGUAGAUAUUUUCUAUGUGUAACAUGUAGUAUUCUUUAUUCUAUCGCGCUCAUUUAUUUAGGGCACAUGUUUUUAUAGAUUGCAUGUAAAAGGAUGUUGCUACUUUUGGUUGGUACUAAAGAUGCUUUGGAAUCAACAACUUUGGUUGAAUCCGAAAAAGGUGAUUAGUUGAAGAUUUAGAACUUCUUGGGCGAGCUAACAUUUUCUUCUAAUUCUCUAUUGAUUUUCAUGGACAUAAAAUAGAAUUAGGAACUGAUUCUCUGCUGAUUUUAUCUUCGAUAACAUGCCGCAAUGCCUUCAUUUGUGCCAGCUGUGUACAUGUUAUUAAGAGAUAUGCAUGAUUAACAAUUUGUCUGCUUUAUUGUGAUUUUUGAUCCCCAGAUAGAACUAGGAACCGAAUAUGAACUAAUUUUUACUUAAAUUUGACUAUGCCAUUUUGUUUUUCCUUCUAGCAGCGUUGUAUACUUAAGUUGAAGAUAUUAUUUUUUAUUCAAAUAUGUUCGCUAAAAAUUGAUGAGUCCGCACUGAAAAUUAAAAGCCUUAACAACACGUGUGUUUCUGCUUUAUGUACUAGGUUCCUUAUUACUUACAGGUUACUUGUCUUCUAUGUCAGCUUAGUCUGCCUGUUAUUCAUGAACCAACCGCUCUAGCAGCCCUAGCUACGACGUCUUUGUCAAUUAAUACCAGGUUCUCAUAUGUUGUUUCGUGCUCAUUUGGUCGUCUGCUUGACAGAAGAUAAAGCAAAUACCUAAGUUGUUUGAUGAGGUAACUAAAGUAAUAACUUCCAUUUCUGUUAGUCCUGGUGUCGACCAGUUCUGCAGUUGUAUUUUUCAUGGUUAGAUUUUGUAGCAUGAUGUAGGUAGGUUUGUGCUCUGUUUGUAAUCCCAUCUACUUUAUCGUAAGUUCAUUCUAUUAACAUUGUUUUGUGAAAACCAAGAUUUUUUAAUCAUUUUUUCGCCUAAUUUUUAUCGUUGGUACACAAAGUGUGUAUUAGCAUGAGCUCCAAGGGAUUCUGCGCCAAGGCGCACCCCAAAAUAUGGCUUUAUUAAACUGGACUUUCUUUAGGUUUUGCGUUAGAGCUGAGAGCAGGUAUUAUUCCCUUAUCAAGUAUGCCAUUCAAUCUAUUUGAUGUUAUCAAGUACUGUCAUCUUGCUGCCAACUACUGCAUUAUUCAAUCUAUUUGCACAUGCAUGUAUUAUUAUUUUGCCAAUGGUUUACCUUAACCGUCUACUCCUAGAUUGACUUAGUGUUCUGACUUAUGAAAACUUAUGGUUUGCAAGAUUACUCCAGCCCACUACAGUAUAUCGAUGCAUCAGAUAAAGGAAGAUGGCUACCACUACGACUCCAAUGGGCUUCCUAUAGAUUACGAGUCCCUCUGUAUGUUCAUUCAGAUUCUCCUAAAGUGUUGAGUCAUUCUACAUGCAACUUUUGAAGACAAACGGUAUUGCCGUGAAAGUGCUGAAAUCCCAUGUCCCUUUUUUUAUAGUUAUAACGCAUUGGUGGAGCAACAGUUCCUAUGUCCUCUUGAAUGGUAUAGACCUGGACAUUGAUAUUGUUGUGAAAAGAGAUAUGGGUGAUUUGAUUGCAUACCCUAAUGCCUUGCAGGUUGCAUCUGUGGUUUCAUGUGAUCACUUGUGUUCCCUUCAGAGUUGCAUCUUUACAUGAAUGCCUUUUUCCUAAAAUUAUGCUAUUCUAGGUUUCAAACAGAAAAAAAGAAGAUUGGUUCUUCCCUUUUCCCAGCAAAGGCCUCGCUCUUCAGAGAAUUUUCUCAUUGAGAUGGACCAUCGGUUCAUGGUUGUAGCUGUCUAAUAGGAAGCUACAAACUUAUUGCAUUUUGUAUUCAUGAGAAAUAGAUUGUGAUUUCCGUUAUGCAAACAUUACCUGUGUAUGCAUCUGAUGCCACUGUACGACGGAACGCUUAGUCUAUAUUGAACUUCACGAGAUAAUGACUUUGAAGUCGGUAAUUCAAAUUUACAUAUAUUAUCAUUUUUGCCUGAAUUUUAUUGUUAUUAUACAAGAUGUGAAAUCCACGGGAUCGUGCGCCAAGGCGCACAUCUAAAUCUAGUCUCACGGUAUGAUUGCUGCACCCCCAUGGAGCUCUCACAGGCGUUUGGAUUUUGGGCCGUCCGAUCAAGCUGACGUGGCGCGAUCUCGGCCAGCCAUUCCAUCCAGGGCGCGAGGCCCUCCCGCAGACCCGCAUUUUAUCCACGGGUCCUGUGAAGCCCGCUCGGCCCAGACUCUCCCGUCGCGCGUGGCUGCGAGCUCCAAUCCCGUCGCUCCCUCUCCCCUUCCUCCUCCGCUCCCAGCCGCCGCCUCCGCUCCGCGCCCGCCCUCCGCGCCCCCGAUCCUGUCGCCUCCUCCUCUCCCAAUCCGCUCGCCUCCUCUUCCAAUCGCCUCACGUCAGCAGCGCCUCAUCCGGUUGCCGCCGCCGCCGACGAAGGUCGCCGACCCAGACCGCGCCUCAUCCCCGUCCUGCGUGUCGUCGUGGUCUUCUCCGUCGAGAUAGAUGGCGAGGAGGCGGAGGAGGAAGCCUUCCAUGGUGCCACCGAUGUUGGAGAUGAUGGUGAGGUUUUGCAGCAGCUGGGCACUUCGUGCCUCUCCCGAUCUGCUCGGCGUGGAAUCCCCGACCGAGCCCCUCUCCAUUAUCCUCUUGCUUGAGGCUGCCAAGGUCGUUCUCGUCCUUGACAACUGCGAGCAGGGCAAGGUCAGCCGCUGCCUCCUCUAUUUCUUGGUCCUCCUGGCUGGACGGUUCCCCACCAUGAGAAGACAGGGAGAGGAGGGCGUGCUCUGCAUCUCCUUCCCUAGCCCCUCUAGAUCGAGCGGCAGCCAACGAGGUUCAGCUUCCAUCGGCCCAUCUCUCCACCUCCACGCCUUUGCUGAUUACAGAUCCAGAUGUAUUUUGUAUCUAUGCAUAUAAACUGUUUGAGGAAAUAUCUAAGCAGGCUGAAGGUGAAUAAUAGGGCUUCCCAUGCCGCUUGGAAUGGUGGCUGGCCACCUGAUCGAGGCUCUCGAGCAUGUCCUAACUAUAUAUUUUCUUUACCGCUGAGAUAAAAAGACCCACAACUCAUAUCGGAUUCGUAAGGUGGGAUUUCGCUCAUGUUACUCUUACAUGCCAGUGACACUUUAUUUAUAUUAGACAGAGACCAAGGGAAAAAAUGAACACCGUCCGGGUCAGCGACGCCAUCUCCAUGGGGACCAGGGGCAUGUGCUACAGACUCCAGUCCGGCAACCGUAUCGCCGACAUCAUUGAGACCGUCAUGGGCGUGGAGCGCUAUGGCACCUGGAUGCGACAAGAACCCUGGAAACUUCCAGGGAAAUUCAUAUGACAUAGUAUCUGCUUUGCAGAGCUACGGAGAAUUUGUUAGUGGAUCAAUCAGCAAGGAGGAAAGAAAGUAUGUGCUCCACAACUCAUGCCCAGGGGCAGGUUCGUGUGGCGGUAUGUACACACCAAAUACAGUGGCAUCCGCAAUUGAGACAAUGGGCAUGAGCCUUUCAUACAGGUGCAAAAUCAUGGUCUACAAACAGAGAAGCAUCAUAUAGGAUCUUAUUCCAAGUCUGGUAUGCCAUGAAACUUGGGGGCUAGCAUCUUCUAGGUGUGGUUCUGGUCUCAGGAUGAUGCUCAAGUGUUGCCCGUGGUUCAGCUGCUGCUAGGUUGGCUCAAUUUCUUCGCCAUGCAUCACGGAAGCCUUUGUCGUGCUUUGCGGAAGCUUUCACAGGUUCGUUGUAGAAGAACCUAAUGAAUUCUUCACUCCACUGAUUACCAUGACAUGCAACAAGUAUAGGUAGGGUACUUUCCUUUUUGAAAUCAGGUAGCAUUUCUUGUGUUUUUGUUCAUGGGGUGGCUCUGAAAAUUGAUCCAAUAAAGAGGGUGCAUAAUGAGCAUCUCUGCUUUGGUCAUACAUGUACUUUAUACUGAACCAGUCAAUCUGUUACGAAAAGGAGGAGACCAUUGUAAUGUACUCUCACUCUCAGCUUCAUAUGUUCAAGCAGAUUGUUGAACAUAUCCCUUAAUUAUCAAUUGAUGUGUCAUGAGCCAGUCCCUUCGCAUUUUCGUACUUCUCAUAUUUAUUCUUUACCAAUCUAUCUAAGCUUGCUUCCUCUUUUACCCAUCGACUAAAUGCGGUCAAAAUAUUUAUCUAUCAUUUUAGGGAAAGCCUUCUUGAGAAGGCAGCAGCGAUGCCUUAUGUUGAGGUUUCUAAUGGAAUGUAUGCCUUUCCCUUGAUGGCGCAGUCCUCGAAGAAAUUACAUGAUGGCAGUAAGUGACCCAGUCUCGACUAUAAAACAUCACAUCUUGUGUGUUUUAUGUUUUUCUGAAGUUUAUUUGUCUGAAUAAAAGUACAUCUAUAUUAUGUAGUAUAGAAGCUUAUACAUGCAAUAUUUCGAGUUAACGUUGCCCACAUCUCUUUUGUAUUUAGUUGCAGAUUGGGGUGUGGAUAGUUUGCUUUAGCUACUUAUGCACUAGAAAAAUAAUGAAUCAAUUUUGGCGUAUAUAUCGAGGAUAAUGUCUAGAUCCAUUCAUGUAUUUUUGUUUGUGAAAAAGGAAAUACCCAUGAUAGGUAUUACAAAGCAUUAGGUGUAUGUCCUUCAUGAAAGAAAAAAACAAAGACUAUUCGAGUUGGCAAUGGUUCAAAAUUUUGAAACUCGCUACUUCAUGAAAGUGAAAGGGAAACAUACAAGUCCUAACCAAUGGCCUGAUAAAAAUAUUUUGGGGUUACGAUAUUUUAGAAGAGCUCUGAAUAGAGGAGUAGAGGCUUGUCCCUAAUUCUGCAUACAAAAGCCAUCAAUCAGUAUUGGAAACCUGAAAAUAUGAAGUAAUAAAGGCAUAAAUUGUGUUGAUUCAAAAAGGUAUUUGUCUUAUUCUGAGAAAUUGAAAACUACUGUGGUUUAUUUGGCUCACUGUAUCCUUCUACUCUUAUUUAGAUUCAUUAGCAUUUUUCCUCAUUGACACACCUUGAACAGGCUUGCCAUUUUCAUAACCUGUUAUUUACAAUGGUACUUUGCUUCUCAGUGGUAAAUGGUAGAUAAUGCUUUCUGUCACAAUUAAAAGAUCACUGUAUCUAUCUACAUUUGUCCUGAAGUUAGACCAUGCAACUCAAAAAGGUUAGAGAUUGAGCUUUCGAGAACAAUAUAAGAAAUAUGUUGCUUUCUCAAUUAGAAGAGUUGUGCCAGAAGAAUACAUGCAUCUACUAGCCAUAUUUCUCGAGACUUUAGUAUAUGUAAGUAACAAUUAUGUAUGUAUAUGGCAGUGUGCUUUGCUCUACCUCAAGACUAUCACUGAUAUGUAUUUCCUUGUGCUCUCCAAUAUGUAACUUUUAUGUAUGCAAGAGCAAUGUGCUUUUCUCUUACUAUAUAUAAGACUACCAUCGAUAUGUA